rnacentral:rRNA from 1 species
AUUGAACGCUGGCGGCAUGCCUUACACAUGCAAGUCGAACGGUAACGGGCCUUCGGGUGCCGACGAGUGGCGAACGGGUGAGUAAUACAUCGGAACGUGCCCGAUCGUGGGGGAUAACGAGGCGAAAGCUUUGCUAAUACCGCAUACGAUCUACGGAUGAAAGCAGGGGACCGCAAGGCCUUGCGCGGACGGAGCGGCCGAUGGCAGAUUAGGUAGUUGGUGGGAUAAAAGCUUACCAAGCCGACGAUCUGUAGCUGGUCUGAGAGGAUGAUCAGCCACACUGGGACUGAGACACGGCCCAGACUCCUACGGGAGGCAGCAGUGGGGAAUUUUGGACAAUGGGCGCAAGCCUGAUCCAGCCAUGCCGCGUGCAGGAUGAAGGCCUUCGGGUUGUAAACUGCUUUUGUACGGAACGAAAAGCCUUCUUUUAAUACAGGAGGGUCAUGACGGUACCGUAAAAAUAAGCACCGGCUAACUACGUG